rnacentral:rRNA from 1 species
CCUACGGGUGGCAGCAGUGGGGAAUAUUGGUCAAUGGCGGAAACUCUGACCCAGCAACGCCGCGUGAAGGAUGAAGGUUUUCGGAUUGUAAACUUCUUUCUCUAGGGAUGAAGAAUGACGGUCCCUCGUAAGAAAGCCCCUGCAAACUACGUGCCAGCAGCCGCGGUAAUACGUAGGGGGCGAGCGUUGUCCGGAAUGACUGGGCGUAAAGGGAGUGUAGGCGGCAGAUUAAGUUAUGUGUGAAAGCCCGCGGCUCAAACGCGGCAGUGCACAUAAAACGGGUAAGCUGGAGUGCAGGAGAGGUAAGUGGAAUGCCUGGUGUAGCGGUGGAAUGCGUAGAUAUCGGGAGGAACACCGGAGGCGAAGGCGACUUACUGGACUGUAACUGACGCUGAGGCUCGAAAGCGUGGGGAGCAAACAGGAUUAGAUACCCGUGUAGUC